CCGCGAUUCGCCCUUCGGGGUGCAGCAGGCGCGAAACCUUUGCCAUGCGCGAAAGCGUGACAGGGGAAUUCCGAGUGGUAGGGGGGUUUACCUCCCUAUCUUUUGGCCAAUCCAAACAAUUGGCAGAAUAAGAUCUGGGUAAGACCAGUGCCAGCCGCCGCGGUAAUACUGGCAGAGCAAGUGGUAUCCACGAAUAUUGGGUCUAAAGAGUCCGUAGCGGGCCUGUUAAGUCCACUGUGAAAUCUGGCGGCUCAACCGUCAGGCGUGCAGUGGAUACUGGCAGGCUUGGGAGUGGGGGAGGUCGGGAGUACUCACGGGGUAACGGUAAAAUGUUGUAAUCCUGUGAGGACUACCAGUGGCGAAGGCGCCCGACCAAAACACGUCCGACCGUGAGGGACGAAGGCUAGGAGAACGAAUCGGAUUAGAUACCCGAGUAGCCCUAGCAGUAAAUUAUGCAGACUGUGGUGUUGCGUCGACUUCGAGUCGGCGCAGUGCUGUAGCGUAGGUGUUAAGUCUGCCACCUGGGGAGUACGACCGCAAGGCUGAAACUUAAAGGAAUUGGCGGGGGAGCAC
rnacentral:rRNA from 1 species